AACGAACGCUGGCGGCAUGCCUAACACAUGCAAGUCGAACGAGACCUUCGGGUCUAGUGGCGCACGGGUGCGUAACGCGUGGGAACCUGCCCUUAGGUUCGGAAUAACUCCCCGAAAGGGGUGCUAAUACCGGAUAAUGUCUUCGGACCAAAGAUUUAUCGCCUUUGGAUGGGCCCGCGUUGGAUUAGCUAGUUGGUAGGGUAAAAGCCUACCAAGGCGACGAUCCAUAGCUGGUCUGAGAGGAUGAUCAGCCACACUGGGACUGAGACACGGCCCAGACUCCUACGGGAGGCAGCAGUGGGGAAUAUUGGACAAUGGGCGAAAGCCUGAUCCAGCAAUGCCGCGUCAGUGAUGAAGGCCUUAGGGUUGUAAAGCUCUUUUACCCGGGAUGAUAAUGACAGUACCGGGAGAAUAAGCGCCGGCUAACUCCGUG
rnacentral:rRNA from 1 species